rnacentral:lncRNA from 1 species
AUUGCUGCUAAAUCAUUUUAUAUUUUUUAGGUUUAUUUUCUUUUACAUUCUAUGGCCUCUUUCUUCUUGCCCUCAUACUUUUUAUGUAUUGAAUUCAUGUUCUAAUUUUGUUCUCGCCCAUACGAAAGUAAUUAUGUCUUUCCAUUUUUGAUGUAACAGUUUAUUUAGUGGUACAUAUUACGUUGAUGUCUUCUUAGUUGAUACACUUAGGGUGAACUGUUUAUUCAAUAUUUUUGCUCUGUCAUGGUCGUUUUCUGCUGGUACUGAGAUCUACUUUAGUCUUUAGUGGUAUACUUUGCGAGAGUUCUUUUUUAUCUGCAUGACCUGGCCCUGCUAAGUGAGCUUUUCUCGUUACUUGGCGUGUUCGUUAUCCGAUUUCGUCUCUGUUAACUUUUACAAAACUUCUCAGUCUCUGAAACUACUGGGUAAAAUGACUUAUGUUAUUGAACAUAUGUCUUUUAGGGAG